CCUACGGGACGCAGCAGUGAGGAAUAUUGGUCAAUGGGCGCGAGCCUGAACCAGCCAAGUCGCGUGAGGGAAGACGGUCCUAUGGAUUGUAAACCUCUUUUGUCGGGGAGCAAAAGACGCCACGCGUGGCGUUCCGAGAGUACCCGAAGAAAAAGCAUCGGCUAACUCCGUGCCAGCAGCCGCGGUAAUACGGAGGAUGCGAGCGUUAUCCGGAUUUAUUGGGUUUAAAGGGUGCGUAGGCGGACUGUCAAGUCAGCGGUAAAAUACGGGGCUCAACCUCCGCCCGCCGUUGAAACUGACGGUCU
rnacentral:rRNA from 1 species